rnacentral:rRNA from 1 species
AGAGUUUGAUCCUGGCUCAGAACGAACGCUGGCGGCAGGCUUAACACAUGCAAGUUGAACGGGAUUAAUUUAGUGCUUGCACUAAAUUAUGAGAGUAGCGCACGGGUGAGUAAUACAUGGGAACCUAUCCUGAAGUGGGGGACAACAGUUGGAAACGACUGCUAAUACCGCAUACGCCCCGAGGGGGAAAGAUUUAUCGCUUUAGGCAGGGCCCAUGGCAGAUUAGGCAGUUGGUGAGGUAACGGCUCACCAAACGACGAUCUGUAGCUGGUCUGAGAGGACGAUCAGCCACACUGGAACCUGAGACACGGUCCAGACUCCUACGAGAGGCA